rnacentral:sRNA from 1 species
UUCAGAGAGUUGACAGAAUAUAUAUCAUUUCCAUCUCUGUGGCAUUUGAAUGUGAAGUUUUUGCUCUGUUGAGAAUCAUCCAGAUGAUGAACAC